UACGAACUGCGCGAACGUUAUUCGGAAUCACUGGGCUUACAGGGUGCGUAGGCGGCUUGCCAGGUCCGAUGUGAAAUCCCCCAGCUCAACUGGGGAAUGGCAUUGGAAACCGGCAGGCUGGAGUGAGCUAGAGGUGCACGGAACUUCCGGUGGAGCGGUGAAAUGUGUUGAGAUCGGAAGGAACACCAGAGGCGAAAGCGGUGCACUGGGGCUUGUCUGACGCUGAGGCACGAAAGCCAGGGGAGCGAACGGG
rnacentral:rRNA from 1 species